AGACCCAAGACUUUGCACAGAAGGCUGACUCCACUGCUGCAGGUACUGGAAAUUCGGAUGUGGAGAAGCCUGUGGAACCCAAUGAAGAAGUUAUAAAUUCUGCAACAAACCCCAUAGUUAUGGAAAUGGGAAAAAGCACUCCAUUUGGUUUUCUUGCACAGCGGUGGCCUCCCUGGCUGCAGUCUAAGCAGAGGCGGUGGAACAGAUAUACGACAGUCGAGGAGUUGAACAGAAUGAAAGAUAUAGUCUGCCUUAUCUUAUCGUAUCCUCCUAUGAAUUCGGUGAACAAAGAGAGACACAAGAACUGGGUUCGGGCUGUUUUGAAGUUGCAUCGCAAAACGAGGGACCCGAGAAAAUUUCCAUUCCAAUUUGAAAUCAAUGCACUGCUGGAUCACAAGUUCGAUGAUAUUGAAGCUUAUGUUCCACCACGGAUCAUUGAGGAGAUGUGUAAGAAAACUUUGGCAGUAACACAGCCUGAUGAAAAAGUACGUAAUUUGGCUGUUAAUUUUGCUACUCGCCAAAUUCUAGAAGAAAUAGAAAAUCCUGAGGUCCGGAGGAUCAGGAUUUCAGGAAGAGAUGAUAUAAGAGUAACAGCAGCAGUGAAAGGUCUACCACAGAUAUAGAAAAUGUUCAAUGUUAUUGUUCAGGUUGAUGUCUCAUCAUAUUCAAAUAUCAUUGGCAUUGAAAGGAAUAUCGCAGCACAGUUAGGUUUAUCAGACGGAUUGGAGUUCAAUAAAUUAUUGGAAGACACAAACUUCUUAAUCUUUCUGCAUGGUAUUCAUGAAAGGAUCAAUCUGUAUGGAGUGGGGAGCAAGUGGUGGAACUCAAAGAACAUUCAAAAGAUAGUUUGUACGACUAGAUCCCAGACAGUUUACGAAAGAAUGGAAAUGGAUCUAGAGAUUAGGUUGGAGGAUCAUCUGUUAUCUUGGAAAUUAUUUUCUAUGAAUGUGGGCAAAAAUGUGCAUUCUUCAGGUUUCCGACGCAGAGCCACAGAUGUGGUUGAAAAGUGUUCUGGUCACUUACUUGCUGUUGUUCUAAUGGCAAGAGCUUUGAAAAUGGUGUCUGAUGUCAUCGUCUGGGAACGUGCAUCUUGUAUACUAGGCUUGCCACAUCGAGCUCAGAUGAAAGACAGAGCUCUGUGUAAUACAUUAGCAUUCAUUCUGGGGCGUCUAGGUUCAGUAGAUGAAUGUGUAAAAUACAGUGCAUUUCACACACAGAAGGAAGGGACCAGCAUAAUUGAUUUGAUACUGGAGUGGAUCAGACAUGCCUUGAUCAAAACAGUUGAAGAAGGAGAAAAGACUGUUCAAGAUCUUAUCAAUGGCUUCGUGUUUGAGAGUUCCCAGAAUAGAUAUUCUGUCCGAAUGCGAGAUGAAAUCCAUGAGGUGUUAGUAGAUUUGUUUAGACUCGAAAUAAAUACACAUUUUCUUUUGCUAGGUGGAAGGGGGUUAACCAAGGCACCAAAAGAUGAGGCCUAGGAAAUCCAUUUGAUGAACAACAAAUUAUCUGAGCUGCCAAAGAGUCCAAAUUGCCCCCAUCUCUGCACAUUGUUCCUACAAAACAAUAGUUGUUUGCGAGUUAUUCCUCCAUUGUUCUUUCAACAUUUGCCCAUGCUCCAAAUCCUAAACUUGUCCCAUACUAAAAUAAGAUCGUUACCACAAUCUCUUUAUGGGUUGGUACAACUGCAAGGACUUGUUUUGAGAGGCUGUAAACUCUUCAUGGAGCUGCCACCUUGAAGUUGGAAAACUCAGUAAUCUUAAGGUGCUUGAUCUUGAGGGGACUGAAAUUAUAAGGCUACCCGUGAAUGUUGGAAAAUUGACAAAUUUAACCCGCUUGAAAAUGUCAAUUUGUGGGGAUGAUAACAACAGGAAAGAUAACGAGUCAAACAUAAUGAUUCCCCAGAAUGUGAUAUCCAAUCUAUUUCAAUUAGAAGAAUUGAUGAUAGAUGCGAAUCCCAAUGAUAAGCGAUGGAGUGCUAGUGUGAAAGACAUUGUAAAGGAAGUGUGCAGCUUAGAUCGGUUGGAAGCUCUUCAACUAUACUUGCCAGAAGUUGCACUUUUGAAUGACUUACAGAAUGCAUCUUCAUCAAUAAACCUCUAAGGAAUGCACUUUAGGUUUACUGUUGGCAGCCAUUUGAAGCACAUAAUAUCUUGACUACCACUUGAAGUUGCAGUUAAAUUUGGUGUACCAGAAAGAUGCAUGCUUGAAGUUUGUGAAGGGUGAAGAUGUCCCAACUGAAAUUGGGAAGGUACUCCAGCAUGUUACUGCAUUGUUCCUCGAUUGCUAUUCAACCGCCACUAGUUUAUCCGAGUUCGGGAUUGAAUAUAUGGAAAAUCUAAAGUUUUGUGCAUUAGGGGAAUGUAAUGAGAUUCAAACUAUUGUAGAUGCAAAUAAUGGAGAUAAAGUACUUAGAUCACUAGAAUACUUGAAUCUUUAUUAUAUGAAGAAUUUAAGGAGCAUUUGGAAGGGGCCAUUUGGAUGGGGUUCUCUAUCAAGUCUAAAAGCUUUGGUGUUGUAUAUAUGCCCCCAAUUGACUACCAUUUUUACUUCAGAUUUGCUUUUAAAUCUCUGCAACUUAGAGGAGCUUGUAGUUGAAGAUUGCCCAGAAAUUGAAAGCAUAGUAGUUGCUCAUGAUCCCACUGCUACUCAACUAAGGUUGUUGACAGAGCAUUUAUUUCCAAAGUUGAAGAAGAUAUCACUUCACUACAUGCCUAAAUUGGUCAGCAUUUUCAAUGGUCUACUCAUUUUACCAAAAUUAGAAUGGAUAAGCUUCUAUGAUUGUCCAAGUCUCAAAACUCUAUCCACAGAGGAAGUUAUCAGUAAUGAUUUAAAGGUGAUAAUAGGAGAGGCAGAAUGGUGGAGAGAAUUAAAACUUCUAUGAUCAUAGUGGUUUAAGCGACCUAAUCUGGAUGCUAUCUUUGUUCCAAUUGAACGGGACACAGAUUUCAUUACACAGUUAGCAGAAAUCAAUGAUCAACUUCAAGCUAGGAUGCAAGAAACAAAGCCUUCUCAACAGUCAGGUCCUGGUUACUCCCUGAAGGCUCCUACAGUCGAGGAUGGAACAAUCUCAAAGCAGAAGCAAGUUGCUUAGCUUUACCUGUUCUGUACUGGUUAAGCUUGAGCCUUGUAUUAUGGAUAAUUUCCCGACAGUGGCUGAUUGUCUUAUUGAUUGUUACUUCAUGCUGUGCUAGCUUGCGGAGAUAAGGAAACUCAGAACCUAACAGAAACUCUGUUUGAAUAAAUGGUGAUGUGAACUUGCUGUAUGCUUAUGAAUUCAGUAUUCAAAUGAUAAUAUCA